GUGGAGCNUUACAUGCAGUCGAGGGGCAUCGGGAGGGAAGCUUGCUUUCCUUGCCGGCGCCCGGCGCACGGGUGAGUAACACGUAUGCAACCUGCCCUCUUCAGGGGGACAACCUUCCGAAAGGGAGGCUAAUCCCGCGUAUAUCGGUUUCGGGCAUCCGUUAUCGAGGAAAGAUUCAUCGGAAGAGGAUGGGCAUGCGGCGCAUUAGCUAGACGGCGGGGUAACGGCCCACCGUGGCGACGAUGCGUAGGGGUUCUGAGAGGAAGGUCCCCCACACUGGUACUGAGACACGGACCAGACUCCUACGGGAGGCAGCAGUGAGGAAUAUUGGUCAAUGGGAGAGAUCCUGAUCCAGCCAAGCCGCGUGAGGGAAGACGGCCCUAUGGGUUGUAAACCUCUUUUGUCGGAGAACAAAACCCGGGACGAGUCCCGGACUGCGUGUAUCCGAAGAAAAAGCAUCGGCUAACUCCGUGCCAGCAGCCGCGGUAAUACGGAGGAUGCGAGCGUUAUCCGGAUUUAUUGGGUUUAAAGGGUGCGUAGGCGGUCCGUUAAGUCAGCGGUAAAAUUGCGGGGCUCAACCCCGUCGAGCCGUUGAAACUGGCAGACUUGAGUUGGCGAGAAGUACGCGGAAUGCGCGGUGUAGCGGUGAAAUGCAUAGAUAUCGCGCAGAACUCCGAUUGCGAAGGCAGCGUACCGGCGCCAGACUGACGCUGAGGCACGAAAGCGUGGGGAUCGAACAGGAUUAGAUACCCUGGUAGUCCACGCAGUAAACGAUGAAUGCUGGUUGUCCGGGUCGAAUG
rnacentral:rRNA from 1 species